rnacentral:piRNA from 1 species
AUCCCCAAGAAGGGUGACCGGUCGGACC